ensembl:lncRNA
GGACUGGCUCCUUCUGGGUGGGCAGCACUCCUGUGGGCUGCAUUGGAGACUUGUGAUGGGUUCAGGCUCCAUUCAGGUGGGCAGCACUGUCUAAUGUGGCAGGUGGGCACCACAGCAGGAAAUGAAAUGGACUGUGGUGAGGAUGGAGUGAGAUACUGCGUCAAGACAGUGAUCUGUAGACUAGAAUGCACUUUUCAAAUGUGAGAGCACGAAGACUGUUGCAGUUGUUCAGACCUACCUAAAAUGGAAUUUGGGCUUUUUUGACUUUUGAAAUGAGUCAUAGCAUGUCUAAGUCAAUUAUGAAGAAAAUGUACGUGAGAGGCAAGAGCAACUCAUGAAUCAAGGAAAUAUCUCCUCUGAGCCACUUGCCUCUGAGAGGAACAUAGAAUUCUGACCUGUAGAAAAUGGAUAUAGUCAGACACUCUUUAUGAAGUUAGCAGUGGUUCUCAGCUUGAGCUGUUCAUUGUAAUCAUCAUCUCAGGGGAUCUUUUAAAAAUGGCUGUUGAGGAGUUCUGGUGCCCGGAGCUCAGCUAGGCAAACAGAACAGCCUCUGUCUGGAACAUUGCUUGAUCUAGUGGCAGAAGAAAAACAGAGAAUGUGGCAAACCAUGUGCUGACUCUGGACAUUUCUGCCUGAGAAUGACACACAUCACUUUCACCAAUAUUUCACCAGCCGAAGAAAUUCCAUCAAAAACAGGUUUUAUUUCAUCAGGAGUUGUCACAGUGACUAUAAUUGUGUGUGAACAUAUCAGAGAAUCAUCCUCUUUUCAUGUUUUCUCAGAAAAACAAACAAACAAACAAAAACUCAGCACAAAUCUCACCCUAUAAGAAGAUUACAUAAGCCACUGGACCAACCUUAGGAGGGCAGAAGCCAAAAAGAAGAAGGAAUUCAACCCUGAAGCCUGGGAAAAAGAGACCUCAAACACAAUAGGUUAAAAACAAUAGUGAAAAGGCGGAGAAAUACUAUACAAAUGAAGGAACAAACUAGAAAC